rnacentral:lncRNA from 1 species
AGUGUCUGACAUGAACUGGGAACUUGGGGCAUCUUUAGAAGCACAGACAUUUGGAGUUCCACGGCAAACCUGGAUGUAAGCACUCACACAGCUUUUAAAGUGAAAGCAGGGACCUUGAGGAAGGAAUCGCCGUCAUCUCAUUGCCGACCUGCUUACUGUGCUGGGAAACAAAGACAAGUCCUGCGCUUGGGGAUCCUCUGUACGCCCGUUCACUGGUGAGUAUGUAUGACAGCAAUUUCUGAUUUCACUAGUUCUUGCUUCUAACACCUAAAUGGUGCUUUGUCUAGGGAAACGCUUUAAAGAGCAUUUUCCCCCAGUACGUUUAUAAUACAUUUCAUAUUUACCUCCAGAAAAUACUGUGGAUGUGAUAAUAAUUAUAAAAGACAACCCACAGACAACAAUGAAAGUUAAGAAUUAAGAUAUAUUCUGAUAGAUUUUUGCAGCAUAUUGACAUAAAGGCAGUUUUGGUUUUGACAUAUGUACACUAAAAUGAUAUCUGUAAUGCUAUUAAAACUCAAGUGUACAAGGCACCAGUAUAUUCUGGCAAAAAUAAUAUAAUGAUCAACAGUUAAUGAAAGACUUGUGCUUUGAGCUUCUAACAAAAUGUUAAUAUGUAGAGAAUCUUGUGAUUCAUGAUGCUUUGGUUCUCAACCAGGGUUAUCAAAUAAGCUAAAAGUAUCAGAAGAGGACAAAGAAAGUACGUAAAACAUGGAUAAAAGCAGAAACCGAGAAAAGAUAGCUUUGAUAUUUAAAGUGUUAGAUUAUGGCCUCUAUAUAAUGUCAUAUAUGCCAGAUCCCCCCCCAAAAUCACACCCUCAAAUUAUGAUCUUCAUUAUUCAAAAGAUGUUUGGCGUGUUGGUGGUACAGUGGUGAGCGUAGUUGCCUUCCAGAAGAUGGUUGGUGUAUAAUUACUAUAGAAUUUCUUGCUCUCUUGGGAGGUGGCUUAGUAGAAGGUUGAGUCAGGCAAGCUGGGGCUGUUUAUUCAGUGUGCUGUGCUGUGCUGUGCUGUGCUGUGCUGUGCUGUGCUGUGCUGUGCUGUGUCUGAAUGCCUGGGAGUUUGCGUUGUUAACCUUUCCAGGGUGCUAGAUCCCUUUGAGAUUAUGAUGGAAGCCAUGAAUCCUUUUCCCACACCUGUAUGCAAACAUGUGCCUGCCCAUUUACAGACCCAAAGAAGGACAUCCAUGUACCCCACGUUAAGAAGGCUGCCCUGGACUAAGCCCUCACUGUGACUCUGCUGUUCUUAAGCUUCCCAGGAAACACUGUUAUGUAAAAAGACGAGCCAUCCAGGUCAAAAAGAAGUCAUUGUGGUUGCUAGGUGGGGGUGCAAAGCCAAAGACAAAGGGUGGGGAAAAUACAUGACUAAUAAUAAAUAAAGAGCAUGGUUAAUACCAGAGUCUCCAAACUGAUAGCCCAGAAUCCCUCAACAUGUAGCCACGAGUAUUUGUAAAGUACGUUGUGAAUUCAGGUAGAGGGCCGAAGACUCAAUAUUAAGCAGUUGGGCAGAGUUUUCAUACAUAUAUUUGUCUCUGCCUUUUGCACAAUAUAAAACUAUGAAAUCUCUUUUCAUUUUUCUAUUGUGCACGCUACCACAUUAGGUAGGAAUCAAAAUCAUCUCAACUCCAGAAGUAUAAUUCAUAACAAUUAUAACAAAGCAGAAAAAUGAUUCUACAUUAGCAGAAGAAAUGUAGUAGGAAUAGAUUUAAAAUAGCAUGGUUGAGUACAAAAGAAACAUCGUUUUUUAAAAAAUGGCAGCCUUUAUCACUCAUCAGCUAAACUUAAAGUCAAUGCUGUGAGGCUGUUGCGGGAAAAAAAUAGUCAUGAUUCUUGGGUGUAUUAAAAGGAGUAUGACAUAGAAGGGUAAGAAAACAAGACGUAGUGUGUUUGUCAGACUCAUCAUUGUGUCCUGUUUGAGUCACACUUAAAAAAAGAAUUUGGACAAUUGUGAAAAGCUGAUACACAAGCAACAGAAAUUACACGCCCUUCCAGGAAAAGAUAAGGCAACUGAGGAUUUUAUUCCACACAAGGCUGGAGGAUUUUUUGCUAAUGGCCUUUAAGUAGUAACAGUCUGGUUUAUCCUUAUAUUCCUAGGGCCUUCCGCUCUGCCUGGUGCACAGUACUUGAGAUGAUCGUUGUGUUUAGUGAUAAUGAGUAAGGUUCCUGUGAGAGACUUAGCAGGAGUAAGUAGGUUCAAAUAAAACCAGCGAUAGUGUCAUGACAGACGGUAUAUAAUACAUGAAUUUGCUGGGUGAUUAAUACAUAAGGAUGACUGUCUCACUUGUGAGGAUGAUAUAAUACUUCAGCAGCUAACUGGGGGAAGCUACAAAAUCUUGGUUUGAUACCUCUUUCAGGAUGAAAGCAGAUAAGUCUGCUGGGGUGGUGGAAACAUUCAUUCAUUCAUUCUACAAACCCUGAGGGCCUACUUGGCUAGGUGCUCACGGUCUGGUAGAGGAGACAAAGAUACAAAAACAGAGUCACAGUGUGUAAUGAGUGCCAUGGGAGCAUAAAAACAGCAUGCGCAGGGCUUGUGACACUCAAC